rnacentral:rRNA from 1 species
GAUGAACGCUGGCGGCGUGCCUAAUACAUGCAAGUCGAGCGAACAGACGAGGAGCUUGCUCCUCUGACGUUAGCGGCGGACGGGUGAGUAACACGUGGAUAACCUACCUAUAAGACUGGGAUAACUUCGGGAAAUCGGAGCUAAUACCGGAUAAUAUAUUGAACCGCAUGGUUCAAUAGUGAAAGACGGUUUUGCUGUCACUUAUAGAUGGAUCCGCGCCGCAUUAGCUAGUUGGUAAGGUAACGGCUUACCAAGGCAACGAUGCGUAGCCGACCUGAGAGGGUGAUCGGCCACACUGGAACUGAGACACGGUCCAGACUCCUACGGGAGGCAGCAGUAGGGAAUCUUCCGCAAUGGGCGAAAGCCUGACGGAGCAACGCCGCGUGAGUGAUGAAGGUCUUCGGAUCGUAAAACUCUGUUAUUAGGGAAGAACAAAUGUGUAAGUAACUAUGCACGUCUGGACGGUACCUAAUCAGAAAGCCACGGCUAACUACGU